rnacentral:rRNA from 1 species
AACUGAAACAUCUAAGUAACCGGAGGAAGAGAAAACAAAAGUGAUUCCGUUAGUAGUGGCGAGCGAACGCGGAUUAGCCCAAACCAGUGUUGUUACGGCAAUACUGGGGUUGUAGGACCACGAUAUUCGAAGCUAAGUGAAUUAGAACUGUUUGGAAAGACAGACCAUAGAGGGUGAUAGUCCCGUAUAAGUAAGCGAAGUUUAGAUAGUGGUAUCCUGAGUAGUGCGGGACACGAGUAAUCCUGUAUGAAUCCACCGGGACCAUCCGGUAAGGCUAAAUACUCCUGAGAGACCGAUAGUGAACUAGUACCGUGAGGGAAAGGUGAAAAGAACCCUAAGUAAGGGAGUGAAAGAGAUCCUGAAACCGUACGCCUACAAGCGGUCGGAGCACAUUUACUGUGUGACGGCGUGCCUUUUGCAUAAUGAGCCUACGAGUUACUGUUUCUAGCAAGGUUAAAUGUUUAAGACAUGGAGCCGUAGCGAAAGCGAGUCUGAAUAGGGCGUAUAGUUAGUAGUAGUAGACGCGAAACCGAGUGAUCUACCCAUGGGCAGGUUGAAGCUGUGGUAACACACAGUGGAGGACCGAACCAGUUGACGUUGAAAAGUCUUUGGAUGACCUGUGGGUAGGGGUGAAAGGCCAAUCAAACUCGGAAAUAGCUCGUACUCCCCGAAAUGCAUUUAGGUGCAGCGUUGAGCGAAAGUUUUAUAGAGGUAGAGCUACUGAUUGGAUGCGGGGGCUUCACUGCCUACCAAUUCC